rnacentral:rRNA from 1 species
CCUACGGGAGGCAGCAGUGGGGGAUAUUGCACAAUGGGGGAAACUCUGAUGCAGCGACGCCGCGUGUGGGAAGACGGUCCUCUGGAUUGUAAACCACUGUCCCCAGGGACGAAGAUGACGGUACCUGGGGAGGAUGCUCCGGCUAAAUACGUGCCAGCAGCCGCGGUAAUACGUAGGGAGCGAGCGUUGUCAGGAAUUACUGGGUGUAAAGGGAGCGUAGGCGGGGAUGCAAGUUGGGUGUCAAAACUACCGGCUCAACUGUUAGUCGCACUCAAAACUGCAGAUCUUGAGUGAAGUAGGGGCAGGCGGAAUUCCGAGUGUAGCGGUGAAAUGCGUAGAUAUUAGGAGGAACACCAGUGGCGAAGGCGGCCUGCUGGGCUUUUACUGACGCUGAGGCUCGAAAGUGUGGGGAGCAAACAGGAUUAGAUACCCUUGUAGUC